rnacentral:piRNA from 1 species
UAACAGAAGACUUGAAAAAGG